rnacentral:rRNA from 1 species
UACAGAGGUCCCAAGCGUUGUUCGGAUUCACUGGGCGUAAAGGGUGCGUAGGUGGCAGGGUAAGUUUGAUGUGAAAUCUCCGAGCUCAACUCGGAAAUGGCAUUGAAUACUAUCCUGCUUGAGGGUCGGAGGGGAGACUGGAAUUCCAGGUGUAGCGGUGAAAUGCGUAGAUAUCUGGAGGAACACCGGUGGCGAAGGCGGCAUCCUGGACCGGCAUUGACGCUGAGGCGCGAAAGCUAGGGGAGCAAACGGG